CCAAAAGAAUAAUGAUCAGUUCCCCACCACAACCUCUGCUGCUGACGUCAAAUACGAGCCUUACACCACCCCCAUCACUAGCACCCCCACCGGAACCUUCGAACCUUACACUACUCCGACCACCUCCGCCGCCGUGCAAUACGAACCCUACACAACCCCCAUUACCAGCACCCCCACCGGAACUUUUGAACCCUACAAAACUCCCACCACCAGCUACAACAACCCUAACAAGUACAACUUCAAUAACAACAGAUACUAUUACAACAACAACGGUUUUCAGACAGAGCAAGAGAGGUUGGGUGACUCGAAAUUCCAAGAAAGUGGCUACAGAAGCAACCAGAACAGUUACAACAACAAUAAUGCUGAGAAGAAAGGGAUGAGUGACACGAGGUUUUUGGAGAAUGGCAAGUA
rnacentral:lncRNA from 1 species